rnacentral:rRNA from 1 species
AACGAACGCUGGCGGCGUGCCUAACACAUGCAAGUCGAACGAGAAAGGGGCUUCGGCUCCGAGUAAAGUGGCGCACGGGUGAGUAACACGUGGGUAACCUGCCUCUAAGAUUGGGAUAACUCGUCGAAAGAUGAGCUAAUACCGAAUAAGACCACAGUUCCCGCGGGAACAGGGGUCAAAGGUAGCCUCUGCUUGCAAGCUAUCACUUAGAGAUGGGCCUGCGCACCAUUAGCUAGUUGGUAGGGUAACGGCCUACCAAGGCAAAGAUGGUUAGCUGGUCUGAGAGGAUGAUCAGCCACACUGGAACUGAGACACGGUCCAGACUCCUACGGGAGGCAGCAGUGGGGAAUAUUGCGCAAUGGGCGAAAGCUUGACGCAGCAACGCCGCGUGAGUGAUGAAGGCCUUCGGGUCGUAAAGCUCUGUCGGGAGGAACGAAUGCUCCUGAGGGUAACAGCCUCGGGAGGUGACGGUACCUUCAAAGGAAGCACCGGCUAACU